rnacentral:rRNA from 1 species
UACGUAGGGGUCAAGCGUUGUCCGGAUUUAUUGGGCGUAAAGGGCGUGUAGGCGGCCUGACAAGUCUGCUGUGAAAACUCGAGGCUCAACCUCGAGAUGUCGGCGGAAACUGCCUGGCUAGAGUCCGGAAGAGGAGAGUGGAAUUCCUGGUGUAGCGGUGAAAUGCGCAGAUAUCAGGAAGAACACCUAUGGCGAAGGCAGCUCUCUGGGACGGUACUGACGCUGAGACGCGAAGGCGUGGGGAGCGAACAGG